rnacentral:rRNA from 1 species
AUUGAACGCUGGCGGCAGGCCUAACACAUGCAAGUCGAACGAGUCGCGCACGGGUGAGUAACGUCUGGGAAACUGCCCGAUGGAGGGGGAUAACUACUGGAAACGGUAGCUAAUACCGCAUACCAUCGGAUGUGCCCAGAUGGGAUUGGCUAGUAGGUGGGGUAAAGGCUCACCUAGGCGACGAUCCCGAGCGGGUCUGAGAGGAUGACCAGCCACACUGAACCUGGACCACGGUCCAGACUCCUACGGGAGGCAGCAGUGGGGAAUAUUGCACAAUGGGCGCAAGCCUGAUGCGGACAUGCCGCGUAUAUGAAGAGGGCCUUCGGGUUGUAAAGUACUUUCAGCGGGGAGGCGUUACCCGCAGAGGAAGCACAGGCUAACUCCGUGCCAGCAGCCGCGGUAAUUC